GACGAACGCUGGCGGCGUGCCUAAUACAUGCAAGUUGAGCGCUGAAGGUUGGUACUUGUACCAACUGGAUGAGCAGCGAACGGGUGAGUAACGCGUGGGGAAUCUGCCUUUGAGCGGGGGACAACAUUUGGAAACGAAUGCUAAUACCGCAUAAAAACUUUAAACACAAGUUUUAAGUUUGAAAGAUGCAAUUGCAUCACUCAAAGAUGAUCCCGCGUUGUAUUAGCUAGUUGGUGAGGUAAAGGCUCACCAAGGCGAUGAUACAUAGCCGACCUGAGAGGGUGAUCGGCCACAGUGGGACUGAGACACGGGCCAAAAUCCUACGGGAGGCAGCAGUAGGGAAUCUUCGGCAAUGGACGAAAGGCUGACCGAGCAACGCCGCGGGAGUGAAGAAGGUUUUCGGAGCGUAAAACCCUGUUGGUAGAGAAGAACGUUGGUGAGAGUGGAAAGCUCAUCAAGUGACGGUAACUACCCAGAAAGGGACGGCUAACUACGUG
rnacentral:rRNA from 1 species